rnacentral:rRNA from 1 species
GGCCUAACACAUGCAAGUCGAGGGGUAGAGAGGGCUUGCUUUCUUGAGACCGGCGCACGGGUGCGUAACGCGUAUGCAACCUACCUUUAUCUGGGGGAUAGCCCGGAGAAAUCCGGAUUAAUACCGCAUAAAAUCACAGUAUUGCAUAAUACAAUGAUCAAAUGUUUAUAGGAUGAAGAUGGGCAUGCGUGUCAUUAGCUAGUUGGCGGGGUAACGGCCCACCAAGGCGACGAUGACUAGGGGAUCUGAGAGGAUGGCCCCCCACACUGGUACUGAGACACGGACCAGACUCCUACGGGAGGCAGCAGUAAGGAAUAUUGGUCAAUGGAGGCAACUCUGAACCAGCCAUGCCGCGUGCAGGAAGACUGCCCUAUGGGUUGUAAACUGCUUUUAUCUGGGAAUAAACCUAUUUACGUGUAAGUAGCUGAAUGUACCAGAAGAAUAAGGAUCGGCUAACUCCGUGCCAGCAGCCGCGGUAAUACGGAGGAUCCAAGCGUUAUCCGGAUUUAUUGGGUUUAAAGGGUGCGUAGGCGGCCCGUUAAGUCAGGGGUGAAAGACGGUAGCUCAACUAUCGCAGUGCCCUUGAUACUGACGGGCUUGAAUGGACUAGAGGUAGGCGGAAUGAGACAAGUAGCGGUGAAAUGCAUAGAUAUGUCUCAGAACAUCGAUUGCGAAGGCAGCUUACUAUGGUCUUAUUGACGCUGAGGCACGAAAGCGUGGGGAUCAAACAGGAUUAGAUACCCUGGUAGUCCACGCCCUAAACGAUGAACACUCGCUGUUGGCGAUACACAGUCAGCGGCUAAGCGAAAGCGUUAAGUGUUCCACCUGGGGAGUACGGUCGCAAGAUUGAAAC